UCCUACGGGACGCAGCAGUGGGGAAUAUUGGGCAAUGGGCGCAAGCCUGACCCAGCAAUGCCGCGUGAAGGAAGAAGGCCUUCGGGUUGUAAACUUCUUUUAUCAGGGACGAAGGAUGUGACGGUACCUGAUGAAUAAGCUCUGGCUAACUCCGUGCCAGCAGCCGCGGUAAUACGGAGGAUGCGAGCGUUAUCCGGAUUUAUUGGGUUUAAAGGGUGCGCAGGCGGCCUGUUAAGUCAGCGGUAAAAGCCCGGGGCUCAACCCCGGCGAGCCGUUGAAACUGGCGGGCUGGAGUUGGAG
rnacentral:rRNA from 1 species